ACGCUGGCGGCAGGCCUAACACAUGCGAGUCGAGCGGUAACAUUUCUAGCUUGCCAGAAGAUGACGAGCGGCGGACGGGUGAGUAAUGCUUGGGAACAUGCCUUGAGGUGGGGGACAACAGUUGGAAACGACUGCUAAUACCGCAUAAUGUCUACGGACCAAAGGGGGCUUCGGCUCUCGCCUUUAGAUUGGCCCAAGUGGGAUUAGCUAGCUGGUGAGGUAAUGGCUCACCAAGGCGACGAUCCCUAGCUGGUUUGAGAGGAUGAUCAGCCACACUGGGACUGAGACACGGCCCAGACUCCUACGGGAGGCAGCAGCGGGGAAUAUUGCACAAUGGGCGCAAGCCUGAUGCAGCCAUGCCGCGUGUGUGAAGAAGGCCUUCGGGUUGUAAAGCACUUUCAGUCAGGAGGAAAGGUUAGUAGUUAAUACCUGCUAGCUGUGACGUUACUGACAGAAGAAGCACCGGCUAACUCCGUGCCAGCAGCCGCGGUAAUACGGAGGGUGCGAGCGUUAAUCGGAAUUACUGGGCGUAAAGCGUACGCAGGCGGUGUGUUAAGCGAGAUGUGAAA
rnacentral:rRNA from 1 species